CGGAGAAGAAACCAGUAUCGAAAAAGACGAAAAAGAGCACUGCUAUUUGUUAUACAGACAAAAUAUUAGAUUUAAUAACAGAUCCAACUAUACCAACCGAUGCAGAGAACACCUUGAAUAUAAAAAAGGAUGAUUGUUCAUUAACGGUUAGACACCUGUAGACAAUACGGCUGUAGAUUACUGGACUAUAGCACAUUAUAAAUGUGCUAAAAUUGAUAAAGUUGCUCUGCAAGAUAGAUGGAAGCAUGCUGAAUGCUCACUCAAAAUAUCUUUAACAGGACAGCAUCCGGAUGAUUUAACUACAGCCAAAGAAAUGGUGACGCUCAUUCAAUCUGUUUUCGACAAAAUGAUGCGACAUCCCGCCAAGAAGCUAAUCAGACACAAACCAAAAAAAAUAAACUUAUAAAAUGUAUGUAAUAGGAUAUGGUGUUGGAUUAAUUUUAUUUAAUAAAAAAAAAAUUUUUUAUAUUUAUAUUUAUUU